rnacentral:rRNA from 1 species
AUGAAUGCUGGCGGCGUGCCUAAUACAUGCAAGUCGAACGGGUUUAGACCCGUGGCGAACUGGUGAGUAACGCGUGGGUAGCUGCUCCGAAGUCGGGGAUAACCAGCCGAAAGGUUGGCUAACACUCGAUAGUCCCGCAAGGGUAACGUUUACGCUUCGGAAGGCGCCUGCGCCCUAUCAGCUUGUUGGUGAGGUAAUGGCUCACCAAGGCGAUGACGGGUAGCCGGUCUGAGAGGAUGAUCGGCCACAGUGGAACUGAGACACGGUCCACACUCCUACGGGAGGCAGCAGUAGGGAAUUGUCGGCAAUGGGCGAAAGCCUGACCGCGCGACGCCGCGUGAAGGAAGAAGGCCUUCGGGUUGUAAACUUCUUUUAUGAGGGAAGAUUAUGACGGUACCUCAUGAAUAAGGGCCUGCUAACUACGU